rnacentral:lncRNA from 1 species
GCUGCCGAGCGAGAAGGGCCGCCCCCCACCCGCCCAGGAGAAGGUCCCCGCCUGCAUGGGCUCUGACCUCUUGGCCAGUUAACAGGAACCAACCUCUGCUCCCUGCACCUUAAAAUGGGUAAAUUGCGAUCCACACACGGAGAAGGACGGGGCAGAGUCCUCAGACCUCUUACCCCAGAUGUAUUCAUUAUGGAUCCUCGAAUACCAUGGCUCAAAAGGCGGGGGAUGGACUUUGCCUGCCAGGGGACAUCUGAUCUUUUGCAUCUCCAAUUGUUGAAUACCUGGAGUCUGAAAAUGCCAUUUACGAUGUCAUUUAUGUUUAGCAUUAUAAAUGGGGUCAAGAAUGUUUAUAUUUUGAAUGUGUCUCUAUUUAAUCCUGAUUGUCAAUGGAAGCCCCAGCAUACAAAAGCCACACAUUAUGUUUCAGGGGAGAGAUUAUGCCAGUUGGUUGGGUGCCUUGUGUUCUAUUAAAGCUGAAGCCAGGCUCCCUGUCAGACUGUUACAGAUCAACACGUUGGAAUCUUCCAGCAGCGAGCACAGGUGUCUUGCACCAAUGGCUCCUUGUGCGCAGAGGGGAGAGCAGAUCCGGACCACUGGAGCAUGGCUCUCGGCCACCCUAGAACAUUCUCCCUAUUAUCCAGUCAGGCCUGGGAGAACCAGCCUGCCCGACAGCUAACAGCUGUCAGGGGACACCUGUAAUUGAGUCAAGUCAACAAGCAGGGACUGCGUAAGGCAAGAACGAGAAGUUUCCAAAACCCUCUUCCUUGUAUACCUCACACUGUGCCCACAACUCACGCUGUGAAACCAGAUCUCUUCUUCCCUGUGUGUCAACUUUGCCCUUAAGAUAAGGACAAAGGCUCCUUAGGGCCUGCGAGGACCUGCCUAAACUCUUUUUCUCUCUACUCCUGCCACACCAACCUUCAUUCCAAUCCUCACCUAAGCUAUACGGUCCCACCUCAGGGCCUUUGCACAUGCUGUUCUCAUUUCCUCAAGCUUCCCUGCACUAUCACCAUGUCACCUACUUAACUCACCUGCUCCUUUAACAGGUUAUUAGCCCAGCCAUCACUUCCUUGAGAACAGGUCCCAGACCUCCCUCAGUCAAAUCUCUCUAAUACACAUUUCCUUCAGAGCUCCCCUCAUACUGAUGCAGUUUUACAACUAUGUAACUAUUCGAAUAAAAUCUGGCUAGGAUGCA